rnacentral:piRNA from 1 species
UUCAGUUUAUUAUUCUGAAGGAGAAGUGU